rnacentral:lncRNA from 1 species
AUGCUGAGCUGUAAUCCAGUGCAGACACCAGUGGCCCGAGUAGGGGGAUGUGUGACGGAAGGAAGUGUGACUUUCAGAACAUGCUUAGAAGGCAGAAUCAGUGGGACACGAAAGACUUUCUGUCGACUGGACUGGACUUGGAGGAUCCUGAGGGCCGCCAGAUUUGCUGGGGAUGCUGAAGUGCGCAGGACGCUGGAGGGACGGCCAGCAUGCAGCGCCAGAGGCCAUCAUGGUGUUCUUCUCCUUCUUUACAAGCUGAUGCACAGACGUGUAUUUGAUCUCCCUAAGAGACGGCUCAGAAGAAAAACCAGCAGAGGUAUUUUAAGAGAAGCCUAGGGCGGAUGAAAAAAUACUUCUUUGUCUCUCUCUACUAAUUCAUCCAGUCUAAGGACCUACGUGGAAAAAUAAUGCCUUUUCAGUUAGUGUAGAGAAAAUAAUGUAAUGAAAUUAAUAUUUUGUUUAUCUUCACCCUGAUAUUCUGAAAUCUUGAAGACCCUCAAAAAACAUGAUUUUCAUGAAAUACUUAAAACAUAUUAUCGUCUGAUAAUGAAAAGUGAACUUCUGAGGGCCGACCAAUAGGUGGCGCCACACAUUCACCGAACCAAGUAACACGGCAGACGAGUUUGGAACAAGCCUCAUAAAUUAAAGCCCUGUGCUGCAACUAACUGUGAGACAUAUGGGUUGAGUCCCAGGCCUGCCCAAGAAUAACUUUGAAGAAAAUUUUGUUUUCUGGCAAUACAGAUGCUAACACACCACAGAACCUUUAAAAAGAAUAAAUAUGUAGAUGGUUCAUAGCUUUCAGAAUAAUUUAACCUUCCCCCCAAAGUUAAGAUAGCAUCACAAGAAUAAAAUAAUGUAAGCACUGUUUUUCUGCUUUGGAAAACAAAUUGGUGGCUGUGAUGCUCUCAGGAAUUAUUUGUCAAUUACUUUUUAUUUAAUAACGUUUUAUUUUAUUAGUUCCAAAGGGAGAGGAAAACAGUGACUUUAUCUUGAAAUGAGUUAAUCCUUGAUGCAUAAAUAAUAUUUAAACAAAGAGUUCUAUGUAGGAAAGCAUCACUACCU